UAGCCUAGUGGUGAAGGCUAUGGAUCGCCAAUCCGGAAACGACGGGUUCGAUUCCCGU
rnacentral:tRNA from 1 species